AGCCAUUCUUGUAAAUUACCAGUUGUAUAAGUUGUAAGGCCUUUGAGUAAUUUAUCGAUAGGGUCAUCACCGUCGGUUCUUGGAAUUCCCUCACAAAG